AAUGGAACAUGUUUAAGAUUGCAGGACAUCUACAUAGGCUGUAAAUUUCUUUAAAUGAUAGAUGUAAAGAUGGAAGACAGAUGGAUAGAAGAAAAGACAGAAUCAGAGACUGGAUGAGUUAGUACUGCAGCCGCACUGUCUUAUUACCACAAGGCUUGCAAGCAUCAAAGUCCCCCACAACCCCCACUCCCUCCCCCUGAAAUGUACCGAUUUAUAUGAAAAUUAAGAUUACAAAUUAAAGCCUGGCUAUCCUGGAGUUUUCCAGUUCAUCAGCCAUCCAAUAAAAAUGAUGUCAAGCCUG